rnacentral:lncRNA from 10 species
GGUCGUCCUCUGCCUCCGGGAAGCGCGGCUUGGAUGGGCUCGCCGGGGCCAGGCUGGGCCGGGGCUGGGCGCGCGGUCACCCCCGGUGAGCGGCACUGAGCCCCGGGGUCCCAGCGGUCCGCGCUCGCCCACCCUCGCUUCGUCCCUGACACGUCCCCAGCUCGGUGCCCUGCUCUCCCCCGACCCUCCCGGCUUCCUCCACUCCAGCAGCUGAGCCUCUUCCCUGCCCACCUGUCCCUGUGGUCAGCGUCCACCUCCUGACCUUAUGGUUUGGGGCAGUCCCCCCGCCCCUGUACGGAUCCUCCCUGGGUGUUGGGACUCGUGGCCCUCAGUCUAGACCUGAUUUCUUUCAUCCUAAAAUGGGAGUGCAGAAUCUGGCAGCCCUAGGGCUGCCGCGACGGUCCCUAAACCUGAGGGUAGGAAAGGCGGGAGACCGGUUUCAGAACCGUGGGGUGAGCGAACUUGAGUCUCACCGGAGCUCCUGCCGACCCACAGGCACUCAAGGACUUCCCGCACCAACCCAUGCUGAGGAGGGGCUUGGUGGCAGCCUCAGGAAACACUCCCAUCGCCAGCCACCGCAGCAGGGAAAGCACCUGGCCUCACCAGCUCCAGGCUUCCAGAAGGAGCUGCCCUCCUGACUCGCAGCCGUCGAAUGUGCUUAGCUCCCAGCACCUGGGCCACUCAUGGACAGCACUCGCACGUGUUCCGCCCCGCCCCCCACCUCCAUGGCUCAGCCGGGCCUUGGCACUCCUCUCUCCAUGUGCCUGCCUGUCUCUGCGGACUCCUGGCUAGGGCUCAGCUGCCCAGUAGCCUGUGGAAGGGGGAACUGGUGCAGUUAUCAGUCAAUCCUCCCACAGGGCUGGGAUUACACACGUGAGCCACCGCACCCGGCAGUCAUUGCUGAGUCUAAGGACAUCUCUGCAUGGGUGCUGUUGUGCCUUCCUGUCGAUGACAUAUCCAUGUCACCCACACACACCUGUAUGCUGACAAACACGGACAUCUAUGUACAUUGGAGAAACCUGGGGAAAGCCCCAGGCUAGCCAUAGCCCUCCCAUCCAGCCAGCCAGUCCCAUGCUCUGUGCAACCUCAGAACCUUACUGAGCCACACAUCACCUGGUGGGUUUUAAUUCUUUAGUGGCGUUUUUGAAGAGUCUGUUCCUAUUUUCCUUAGACUGUCCCACAGUCUGGAUCCUUGGUUAAACGUUUGGGGCAAUGAUGAAGGGAGGUGACAAGUCAGCAGGAGGUGCAGGACAUCAGCGUGGCCAUGAGUGAGGACGUGAAGUUGAACCACUUGGUCAGCUUUGGGUCUGCUGAAUUCCUCCAUGGUCAAGGUCCGUGGCUCCUUGUGGAGUAAUUAAGGCAUGCGUGAGGUCAUUCUCUGAGACCACAAGCAUCAAGUUUUCCCAAUAACCAUUUGCCCAACAGUUUUAGCAUCAGUUAAUGAGUAGAUUCAGUGUUAAACCGUAAAGCUGCAAAAUCAUGGCUUCCCAAGUUUAUUGUUUCUUCUACAUUUAUAGUCACUUUCGGUCAAGCUUCCCCUUCUUUAAAAAGUUAUUAAAUAUUUGGGAGGCUGAGGCAGGAGAAUGGCGUGAAUCCGGGAGGCAGAGCUCGCAGUGAGCUGAGAUCACGCCACUGUACUCCAGCCUGGGAGACGGAGCAAGACUCUGUCUCAAAAAAAAAAAAAAAAAAAAAA